rnacentral:rRNA from 1 species
GACGAACGCUGGCGGCGUGCUUAACACAUGCAAGUCGAACGGAAAGGCCCUGCUUUUGUGGGGUGCUCGAGUGGCGAACGGGUGAGUAACACGUGAGUAACCUGCCCUUGACUUUGGGAUAACUUCAGGAAACUGGGGCUAAUACCGGAUAGGAGCUCCUGCUGCAUGGUGGGGGUUGGAAAGUUUCGGCGGUUGGGGAUGGACUCGCGGCUUAUCAGCUUGUUGGUGGGGUAGUGGCUUACCAAGGCCUUGACGGGUAGCCGGCCUGAGAGGGUGACCGGCCCCAUUGGGCCUGCGAUACGGCCCGGACUCCUACGGGAGGCAGCAGUGGGGAAUAUUGCACUAUGGGCGGAAGCCUGAUGCAGCAACGCCGCGUGCGGUAUGACGGCCUUCGGUUUGUAUACCGCUUUCGCCUGUGACGAAGCGUGAGUGACGGUAAUGGGUAAAGAAGCACCGGCUAACUACGUG